rnacentral:rRNA from 1 species
AGAGUUUGAUCAUGGCUCAGAUUGAACGCUGGCGGCAUGCCUAACACAUGCAAGUCGAACGGAAACGAUGGGAGCUUGCUCCCAGGCGUCGAGUGGCGGACGGGUGAGUAAUACAUAGGAAUCUGCCCAGUAGCGGGGGACAACUUGGGGAAACUCAAGCUAAUACCGCAUACGCCCUACGGGGGAAAGCAGGGGAUCUUCGGACCUUGCACUAUUGGAUGAGCCUAUGUCAGAUUAGCUUGUUGGUGGGGUAACGGCCUACCAAGGCAACGAUCUGUAGCUGGUCUGAGAGGACGAUCAGCCACACUGGGACUGAGACACGGCCCAGACUCCUACGGGAGGCAGCAGUGGGGAAUAUUGCACAAUGGGCGAAAGCCUGAUGCAGCAAUGCCGCGUGUGUGAAGAAGGCCUGCGGGUUGUAAAGCACUUUCAGUAGGGAGGAAACAGUUGCGGGUUAAUAUCCCGUGACCUUGACGUUACCUACAGAAGAAGCACCGGCUAACUCUGUGCCAGCAGCCGCGGUAAUACGGAGGGUGCGAGCGUUAAUCGGAAUUACUGGGCGUAAAGCGCAUGCAGGUGGUUUGUUAAGUCAGAUGUGAAAGCCCGGGGCUCAACCUCGGAAUAGCAUUUGAAACUGGUG